rnacentral:rRNA from 1 species
GACGAACGCUGGCGGCGUGCUUAACACAUGCAAGUCGAACGGAAAGGCCCUGCUUUUGUGGGGUGCUCGAGUGGCGAACGGGUGAGUAACACGUGAGUAACCUGCCCUUGACUUUGGGAUAACUUCAGGAAACUGGGGCUAAUACCGGAUAGGAGCUCCUGCUGCAUGGUGGGGGUUGGAAAGUUUCGGCGGUUGGGGAUGGACUCGCGGCUUAUCAGCUUGUUGGUUGGGUAGUGGCUUACCAAGGCUUUGACGGGUAGCCGGCCUGAGAGGGUGACCGGCCACAUUGGGACUGAGAUACGGCACAGACUCCUACGGGAGGCAGCAGUGGGGAAUAUUGCACAAUGGGAGGAAGCCUGAUGCAGCAACGCCGCGUGCGGGAUGACGGCCUUCGGGUUGUAAACCGCUUUCGCCUGUGACGAAGCGUGAGUGACGGUAAUGGGUAAAGAAGCACCGGCUAACUACGUG